AAUGAAGCACUAUGACACACGAGGAAAGAAUCUAUAGGGGAAAAAUGAAAAAGUCAUUCUGAAAUGGCAAGGGAGCUUUCUGACUGGAGGCCUCAAAUCUUGUAGUUGAGGCAUGAAAAGAGUAGGAGAACUGGUGACCGUGAGCUUUUGUGUUUUCACGGCCUUGGCCUUUCUGAAGAAUUUCACAGCCUCUCCACAAGCAGUUCGCCAACUCUGGGCCCCACGGAUGUUUUCAGCUGAGAAAAAGAACGGAACAGGAAGCAUCUGGCAAAGGGAAAUAGAACCAACCAAUCCAACAUCUGGCAGAAAAUACCGUCUGAGCAGCUGGCCAGCUUUGUCCUUGGCAGGACCAGACAUUGGGACCAUGUCUCAGCUUCUGAUUCAUUGUUAUAUAGAAGGUGGUUGGCUAACAUCGUGCUGUACAACAUAAUCAUCUUACGUUCAGAACAACUCCAGAUGGCUAAGUCGUUUUCCA